rnacentral:rRNA from 1 species
AUUGAACGCUGGCGGCAGGCUUAACACAUGCAAGUCGAACGAAGUUAGGAAGCUUGCUUCUGAUAUAGAGCGGCGGACGGGUGAGUAACGCGUAGGAAUUUGCCCAGUAGUGGGGGACAACAUGUGGAAACGCAUGCUAAUACCGCAGACGCCCUAUGGGGGAAAGCAGGGGCGGACCUUGCGCUAUUGGAUGAGCCUAAGUCAGAUUAGCUUGUUGGUGGGGUAAUGGCCUACCAAGGCGACGAUCUGUAGCUGGUCUGAGAGGAUGAUCAGCCACACUGGGACUGAGACACGGCCCAGACUCCUACGGGAGGCAGCAGUGGGGAAUAUUGGACAAUGGGCGAAAGCCUGAUCCAGCAAUGCCGCGUGUGUGAAGAAGGCCUGCGGGUUGUAAAGCACUUUCAGUAGCGAGGAAAAGCUUAAGGUUAAUAACCUUGAGUCUUGACGUUAACUACAGAAGAAGCACCGGCUAACUCUGUGCCAGCAGCCGCGGUAAUACAGAGGGUGCAAGCGUUAAUCGGAAUUACUGGGCGUAAAGCGCGCGUAGGUUGUUUGGUAAGUCGGAUGUGAAAGCCCUGGGCUCAACCUGGGAACUGCAUUCGAAACUGCGCAACUAGAGUACGAUAGAGGGGGGUAGAAUUUCAGGUGUAGCGGUGAAAUGCGUAGAGAUCUGAAGGAAUACCGGUGGCGAAGGCGGCCCCCUGGAUUGAUACUGACACUGAGGUGCGAAAGCGUGGGUAGCAAACAGGAUUAGAUACCCUGGUAGUCCACGCCGUAAACGAUGUCUACUAGCCGUGGAAUCCUUAGAGGUUUUAGUGGCGCAGCAAACGCAAUAAGUAGACCGCCUGGGGAGUACGGCCGCAAGGCUAAAACUCAAAUGAAUUGACGGGGGCCCGCACAAGCGGUGGAGCAUGUGGUUUAAUUCGACGCAACGCGAAGAACCUUACCUACUCUUGACAUCCUCGGAACUUAGCAGAGAUGCUUAGGUGCCUUCGGGAACCGAGUGACAGGUGCUGCAUGGCUGUCGUCAGCUCGUGUCGUGAGAUGUUGGGUUAAGUCCCGUAACGAGCGCAACCCUUGUCCUUAUUUGCCAGCACGUAAUGGUGUGAACUCUAAGGAGACUGCCGGUGACAAACCGGAGGAGGGUGGGGACGACGUCAAGUCAUCAUGACCCUUACGGGGUGGGCUCCCCCUGCUUCCAUGGUUGGGACCAAAGGGUGGCUCCCCGCCAUGGGAUGGCUAUCUCCCAAAAGCCAUCCUAAUCCGGAUUGGAGCCUGCACCUCGACUCCCUGAAGUCGGAAUCCCUAAUAACUCCAAAAUAAAAUGGGGCGGGGAAAAAGUUCCCGGGGCC